UACGUAGGGGCAAGCGUUGUCCGGAUUUAUUGGGCGUAAAGAGCUCGUAGGUGGUUCGGUAAGUCGGAUGUGAAAUCUCCAGGCUCAACCUGGAGGGGUCAUUCGAUACUGCCGUGACUAGAGGUCGGUAGGGGAGUGUGGAAUUCCUGGUGGAGCGGUGAAAUGCGCAGAUAUCAGGAGGAACACCCGUAGCGAAGGCGGCACUCUGGGCCGAUACUGACACUGAGGAGCGGAAAGCGUGGGGAGCGAACAGG
rnacentral:rRNA from 1 species